rnacentral:rRNA from 1 species
GAUGAACGCUGGCGGCGUGCCUAAUACAUGCAAGUCGAGCGAACAGAUAAGGAGCUUGCUCCUUUGACGUUAGCGGCGGACGGGUGAGUAACACGUGGGUAACCUACCUAUAAGACUGGAAUAACUCCGGGAAACCGGGGCUAAUGCCGGAUAACAUUUAGAACCGCAUGGUUCUAUAGUGAAAGAUGGUUUUGCUAUCACUUAUAGAUGGACCCGCGCCGUAUUAGCUAGUUGGUAAGGUAACGGCUUACCAAGGCAACGAUACGUAGCCGACCUGAGAGGGUGAUCGGCCACACUGGAACUGAGACACGGUCCAGACUCCUACGGGAGGCAGCAGUAGGGAAUCUGCCGCAAUGGGCGAAAGCCUGACGGAGCAACGCCGCGUGAGUGAUGAAGGUCUUCGGAUCGUAAAACUCUGUUAUUAGGGAAGAACAAAUGUGUAAGUAACUGUGCACGUCUUGACGGUACCUAAUCAGAGAGCCACGGCUAACUACGUG